rnacentral:rRNA from 1 species
GAUGAACGCUGGCGGCGUGCCUAAUACAUGCAAGUCGAGCGGCAGCACGGUCUUCGGACUGGUGGCGAGCGGCGGACGGCUGAGUAACGCGUAGGAACAUGCCCCAAAGUGAGGAAUAACUGCCCGAAAGGGUGGCUAAUACCGCAUAGUCUCUUAGGAGUAAAGUCUUCGGACGCUUUGGGAGGAGCCUGCGUUAGAUUAGGUAGUUGGUAGGGUAAUGGCCUACCAAGCCUACGAUCUAUAGCUGGUCUGAGAGGAUGAUCAGCCAGACUGGGACUGAGACACGGCCCAGACUCCUAAGGGAGGCAGCAGUGAGGAAUAUUGCGCAAUGGGGGAAACCCUGACGCAGCAAUACCGCGUGAGUGAAGAAGGUUUUCGGAUCGUAAAACUCUUUUAUUGGGGAAGAAGAAGUGACGGUACCCAAUGAAGAAGUCCCGGCUAACUACGUGCCAGCCGCCGCGGUAA